GACGAACGCUGGCGGCGUGCUUAACACAUGCAAGUCGAACGAAGUGGCGAACGGGUGAGUAAAGCGUAAUAAACCUGCCCUUCAGAGGGGGACAACAGUUGGAAACGACUGCUAAUACCGCAUACUGAAGGAGGGGAUUGCGUCUGAUUAGCUAUUUGGAGGGGUAACGGCCCACCAAGGCGAUGAGCAGUAGCCGGUCUGGGAUGGUUAACCGCCACAUUGGGACUGAGGCACGGCCCAGACUCCUACGGGAGGCAGCAGUGGGGAAUCUUCCGCAAUGGACGGAAGUCUGACGGAGCAACUCCGCGUGAGUGAUGACGGCCUUCGGGUUGUAAAGCUCUGUUAAUCGGGACGCGGUACCGGAAUAGAAAGCCACGGCUAACUACGUGCCAGCAGCCGCGGUAAUUC
rnacentral:rRNA from 1 species